UCAGCCUCAUUUACCGCACUCUCUCUGGCCCACAGUCUUCUUUUUAAACCGUACACUGGGAGUUACUAGGCUAAGCUGUCUCGUAAUCAUGGGUUGAAUUGUCGAUAUCGUCGAUCAAGAUGUAGUGCGGCAACACGCUCAUGAUCACAAUGCGUCGUAUUUUCCCUCGCAGAUCAUCAAAGUGUACAAAGGGAGGGGAGUUGAUGUUAUCAGUUUUCUCUUUUCCUGAAAUUAUUCUUAAGACACGAGAUCCUGUAAGAUUUUGGUGAUUGCUCAGUCAAGAUGCUAAGAAGUGUAUGUUGUAACUGCUGUGUAGACAAACAAGUUGUUCUCUAAAGGCUUCCUGUGAUGUCUAGGCUGGAAAAGGGAUCAUCCUUUCGCAGUGCAGCCUCUACAUCACAGGAAUGUCUGGAAGACAGACCAAGAGUGUCCACCAACCAAUUAUUAAGAGUUACUCUGUUAAGUAGUGAAUGGAGAUCAUCAAAGGGAGGCUUGUCUACGAUCAGCAGAGAACUAGCAAUACAAUUUGCUAAACACCCUAAUGUGGAAGUUUGUGUCUAUCUCCCUAAGUGUAGUGAAGAAGAUAAGAAAGUUGCUGGAAGUCACAGUGUUCAGCUCAUUGAAGCAGAAGAACUUCCUGGAUUUGAGCCAAUUGAUUGGUUGGCCUCUUUGCCUAAAAAUCAUCUUCCUCACUGUGUAAUUGGACAUGGUCU